GACGUCGAAUAUCGACGUCAUAAACACCAAAGUUGAUCGUGUUUAUGACGUCGAAUAUCGACGUCAUAAACACCAAAGUUGAUCGUGUUUAUGACGUCGAAUAUCGACGUCAUAAACACCAAAGUUGAUCGUGUUUAUACCUCGAAUAUCGACGUCAUAAACAUCAAAGUUGAUCGUGUUUAUGACGUCGAAUAUCGACGUCAUAAACACCAAAGUUGAUCGUGUUUAUGACGUCGCAUAUCGACGUCAUAAACACCAAAGUUGUUCGUGUUUAUGACGUCGAAUAUCGACGUC